CUGCCAGGAGAGAGAGGCAGCACAUCUACCAAAAUUGGAAAGAAACGGAGUCGAUUAGCAUGGUCCCCGUGCCUGGAUGGCACUCAAAUUCAUGAAGCAUUCUAUAUUUUU
ensembl:snRNA U6 U6 spliceosomal RNA